CAGUCGCCACGGGAAUACGUAGGGUGCGAGCGUUAAUCGGAAUUACUGGGCGUAAAGCGUGCGCAGGCGGCUUUGCAAGACAGAGGUGAAAUCCCCGGGCUCAACCUGGGAACUGCCUUUGUGACUGCAAGGCUAGAGUACGGCAGAGGGGGAUGGAAUUCCGCGUGUAGCAGUGAAAUGCGUAGAUAUGCGGAGGAAUACCGAUGGCGAAGGCAGCCCCCUGGGCCAAUACUGACGCUCAUGCACGAAAGCGUGGGGAGCAAACAGGAUUAGAUACCCGUGUAGUCCCUGUCUCUUAUAC
rnacentral:rRNA from 1 species